UACAGAGGGUGCGAGCGUUGUCCGGAAUUAUUGGGCGUAAAGAGCUCGUAGGCGGUUUGUCGCGUCGACUGUGAAAACCUACAGCUUAACUGUGGGCUUGCAGUCGAUACGGGCAGACUUGAGUUCGGUAGGGGAGACUGGAAUUCCUGGUGUAGCGGUGAAAUGCGCAGAUAUCAGGAGGAACACCGGUGGCGAAGGCGGGUCUCUGGGCCGAUACUGACGCUGAGGAGCGAAAGCGUGGGGAGCGAACAGG
rnacentral:rRNA from 1 species